UCUUCUUGCUCUGUUGCGGGGUGCUGCGGCAGGACUUUCGGGGUGCCGCAGAGGAAGAAAACGGAGAGGGACGUGCGCGGGCGGGUGUGGCAGCAACAGGAGACCGAUUCAGCAGCUGAUGCGGGCUGGCCACAUUGCUAUCAGUUGCAUUGUGCCAUAGGAGUAAUAUCCACUUGGACAAUCGUCUUCUUCAUUUGAUUUCCUUGGAGAGUAGGUCAGAUUUUUCCACCACUGCUGGGUCAAGGUUGGAGUCACUGGAAGAGGAAGGAGGUGAAUCUAGAAGAGGUGCAGAGUUUGAACAUCCUAGUAUCAUCCUGUGUUUGGCAGUUGUUUGUAGCAGUGUCUGCUUUGGGAGCCAAGGAAAGGUUGGAUGCUGAUGCUGAACAGAGAGCCUGGCAAAGAAGCCGGCGUUUGCCCAGGAGGAGCUUGUUGAACCCUUGUAAAGGGUGCAACCAGGAGCUGUAUCAAGACCAUAUCUGUGUCAUAAAAGGAAUUUGAUGAUCGUGGUGGUAGCAUCUUGUCUGUUUUGCUUCUUAAGAAUGUGUGAAUGUUAUCAUCACAUCAGUCAUGUCGUCCAUUGGACCCUCCUGUCCCAUCUCCAUUGCAACUUCCACAAUCUUAGUGACCAAUCAGGAACCUGGGAUUUUUAGUGAAGAGGAGCUGAUAAGUUUGAGAACAGCUUAUUGGACCAUUCUUAGGUACGGAUUCAGGCCAGUCUUUGCUGGCUUCCUUUUUCAUUACCUUGGCACCUGAACAGCUGGACUGAAUCGUUCGACAAACCGAACUGUGACAGGGGAAGUGGAAGGAGACUGGCCAGAGCAACUAACAUCACCAUUGGUUGGAGCCAACAUGAUGGAUUAGGGGCAGCCAACCAGCUGAACUCUCCCAACAGUCCUUUCCAAACAACUUUAAAAUAACACCUCAAAUCAAAGUUUGGAGUGGCAGAACCAACAAAAGGUUAGGGUGAGACAUUUGUCUGGCCUAAGAAAACUUAAGAGGUCAGCAAGAGGACUCUGUAACACAGGGGUGUGGAGUCCUGUCCAGAAUUGGUGCAACAGCAGCUGUAGCAACAGUAGCUUUGGGAGUUUUCAGCUCCUAGAUGGUAAGGGUGGUUGUAUAACUGGUCAGAAAGUGAUUACAGACCUUUUGCUGGCACAGGUACAGCUGGUGCUGAUUGGCAACUCUAUUGCCCAUAAGCAGUUGUGGGUUGUAGUUCCAGGGUAGAUUGGAACUCUAGUGGUCAUCACAAGGGAGCAGGGGCCCUGGUCACAAUUCUAAAGCAAAGAAGAGGGUUAGCAAUUGUGGCUGCAGGGUACUAGGGGCCCUUCCAGGGUAGACUAACAUAUAGAACAGGAGAGCCACACCCUUCCCAGGAUUACACCACCUUGGAAGCACCAAAAACUUUCAGACCCCCCAGAAGUAAGUGAAAACAGCAGCGAAAAAAAAGGCCUAAAGCAAGCUGACAUAGUGCUUCCUCACCUUCAAGUGAGCAGAGCUUAACUUUAACAUAAAGUUCGAAGUCAAGAGUAGGCUGGUAAAAUGAGCAAACAAAAAAAGAAUUUGUCAGGAAAAGGCUACUAUGGUGGCAGGGAUGACCAAGAUAGCUCAGAAGCUUCAGGCAAAUCUAAGAAAAAUGCUAACUGGAGCCAAGGCCAGCAAGAAAUACUGGAAGAGUUGAAGAAAGAGAUAAGAGUAGUAGAGGAAAAACUGGGAAGAGAAAUGAGAGUGAUGCAAGAAAAUUACGAGAAGAAAAUUACCACCUUGGCGAAACAGGCACAAAAGAAUACUGAAGAAAAUAACACCUUAAAAAACAAAAUUGGCCAAAUGGCAAAAGAGGCAUGCAAAUCCA